rnacentral:rRNA from 1 species
GACGAACGCUGGCGGCGUGCCUAAUACAUGCAAGUAGAACGCUGAAGUGAGGAGCUUGCUCUUCUUGGAUGAGUUGCGAACGGGUGAGUAACGCGUAGGUAACCUGCCUUGUAGCGGGGGAUAACUAUUGGAAACGAUAGCUAAUACCGCAUAACAAUAGGUGACACAUGUCAUUUAUUUGAAAGGGGCAAUUGCUCCACUACAAGAUGGACCUGCGUUGUAUUAGCUAGUAGGUGAGGUAACGGCUCACCUAGGCGACGAUACAUAGCCGACCUGAGAGGGUGAUCGGCCACACUGGGACUGAGACACGGCCCAGACUCCUACGGGAGGCAGCAGUAGGGAAUCUUCGGCAAUGGGGGCAACCCUGACCGAGCAACGCCGCGUGAGUGAAGAAGGUUUUCGGAUCGUAAAGCUCUGUUGUAAGUCAAGAACGAGUGUGAGAGUGGAAAGUUCACACUGUGACGGUAGCUUACCAGAAAGGGACGGCUAACUACGUG